GGCUUCAUAGCUCAGUUGGUUAGAGCGUCGCUAGGUAUCGUCGCGGUAUCGCGAGGUCACGGGUUCAAACGCCGUUGAAGUCC
rnacentral:tRNA from 1 species